CACAGAGGAACAUCGGCUGCAGCCUCCAGUCCGGUGCACACAUUCUCUGGAGCGUAUCUCACUUGUUUAGCAGAUUGACAUCUAAGCUGAGCGUGUCCUGGACUCGCAACAUUAAUCUCGCCCUAAUUGCACCUNUGGAAUCCGCAAGAUUCAACAGGAGUGGAACAAAGAUGCUACACCAAACGCCUUUAAAAAGAAAAAAAAAAUAGAAGUCCCUGGAGGUGAGAGCAGAAGCAGAUUAAAAAAAAAACUAAAAACCACUAAGUAGGAUUUAGGAGCAACCAUAAUAUAAGCAAACGCGAAUGGAUUAGCUCCUGCUUCAUUCUCUGGAAAGAAUCAAUCUUGGAUUACUUUGCUUGAUUUUAAAUGGAGCAGAAGGAUUAGUGUAGGAAACAUGAUGCUUGUUAACAGUCCCUGUAUACCUUGCGCUAGGUCGGACAGCCUUGACUAAGCCGUCAGCACCUUUGCUUUGGACCAAGAGAUCAGCAGCAGCACAGGACUCAGGAGGCGGGAGCACUGGAAUUCCCACGCUAAACUCUCAGUUCACCCAAAUUUCUGGGGCAGAAUCUAAGUUGCCGCAUUUUUCUAGGGAGAAGAGGCGACAAAGAAUUGCAACUUGCUGAAACAGUUUCAGAUGCC
rnacentral:lncRNA from 1 species